GGACAGUAUCCUAAUUAACAAAAUCAGAAAUGAAAAGGGAGACAUAACAACAGAACCUGAGGAAAUCCAAAACAUCAUCAGAUCCUACUAUAAAAGCCUAUACUCAACAAAAGCAGAAAACCUGGAUGAAAUGAAGAUAUUUCUAGACAGAUAUCAGGUACCAACGUUAAAUCAGGAUCAGAUGCAUGACCUAAACAGUCCCAUAUCUCCUAAAGAAAUAGAAGCAGAGAAUAAUAGUCUCCCAUCAAAAAAAAAAAAAAAAAAAAAAAAAAAAAAAAAAAAAAAGCCCAGGACCAGAUGGGUUUAGUGCAGAGUUCUAUCAGACCUUCAAAGAAGACGAAAUUCAAAUUCUCCUCAAACUAUUCCACAAAAUAGAAGGUACUCUACCCAAUUUAUUCCACGAAACCACAAUUACUCUGAUACCUAAACCACAUAAGGACCCAACAAAGAGAGAGAACUUCAGACCAGUUUCCCUUAUGAAUAUUGAUGCAAAAAUACUCAAUAAAAUUCUCACAAAUGGAGUCCAAGUACACAUCAAAACAAUUAUCCAUCAUGAUCAGGAAUUCAAGGCCCAUACCUAAACAUAAGAAAAACAAUAUACAGAAAACCAGUAGCCAACAUCAAAAUAAAUGGAGAGAAGCUGGAAGCAAUCCCACUAAAAUCAGGGACAAGGCUGCCCACUUUCUCCCUACCUAUUCAAUAUAGUACUUGAAGUCCUAGCCAUAGCAAUUAGACACCAAAAGUAGGUCAAGGGGAUACAAAUUGGAAAGGAAGAAGUCAAAAUAUCACUAUUUGCAGAUGAUAUGAUCGUAUAUACAACUGACCCUAAAAAUUCCACCAGAGAACUCCUAAACCUGAUGAACAGCUUCAGUUCAGUAGCUGGAUAUAAAAUUAACUCAAACAAAUCAAUGGCCUUUCUCUACAAAAGGAUAAAUAGGCCGAGAAAGAAAUUAGGGAAACAAUACCCUUUACAAUAGUCACAAAUAAUAUAAAAUACCUUGGUGUGACUAUAACUGAGGAAGUGAAAGAUCUGUAUGAUAAGAACUUCAAGUCUCUGAAGAAAGAAAUCAAAGAAAAUCUCAGAAGAUGUAAAGAUCUCCCAUGCUCAUGGAUUGGCAGAAUCAAUAUAGUCAAAAUGGCUAUCUUGCUGAAAGCAAUCUACAGACUGAAUGCAAUCCCCAUCAAAAUUCCAACUCAAUUCUUCAACGAAUUAAAAUUAGAAAAGGCAAUUUGCAAAUUCAUCUGGAAUAACAAAAAACCUAGGAUAGCAAAAAGUAUUCUUUUUAUUAUUAUAAUUAUUUUUAUUAAAUAUUUUAUUCAUUUACAUUUCAAAUGCUAUCCCAAAAGUCCCCUAUACCCACACCCUGCCCUGCUUCCUUACACACUCACUCCCACUUCUUGGCCCUGGCGUUAUCCUGUACUGGGGCAUAUAAUGUUUGCUAGACUAAGGGUCCUCUCUUCCCAAAUGAUGGCUGACUAGGCCAUCUACUGCUACAUAUGCAGCUAGAGACAGGAGCUCUGGGAGUACUGAUUAGUUCCUAUUGUUGUUCUUCCUAUAGGGUUGCAGACCCCUUCAGCUCUUGGGUAUUUUCUCUAACUCCUAUAUUGGGGACCCUGUUUUCCAUCCUAUAGAUGUCUGUGAGCAUCCACUUCUGCAUUUGCCAGGCACUGGUAAAGCCUCACAGGAUAAAGCUAUAUCAGGGUCCUUUCAGCAAAAUCUUGCUGGCAUAUGCAAUAGUGUCUGCGUUUGGUGGCUGAUUAUGGGAUGGACCCCCAGGUAGGGCAGUCUCUGGAUGGUCCAUCCUUUCGUCUUAGCUCCAAACUUUGUCUCUGCCAAAGGUAUUCUUAACAAUCAAAGAACCUCUGAAAAAAUCACCUUGCCUGACCUAAAGCUGUACUACAGAGCAAUUAUGAUAAAAACUGUGUGGUAUUGGUACAGCAACAGACAGGUAGAUCAAUGGAAUAGAAUUGAAGACCCAGAAAUGAACCCACACACCUAUGGUCACUUGAUCUUUGACAAGGGAGCUAAAACCAUCCAGUGGAAAAAAAGACAACAUUUUCAACGAAUGGUGCCAGCCCAACUGGUGGUUAUCAUGUAGAAGAAUGAGAAUUGAUCCAUUCCUAUCUCCAUGUAGAAAGCCCAAGACUAUGUGGAUCAAAGAACUCCACAUAAAACCAGAGACACUGAAACUUAUAAAGGAGAAAGUAUGGAAAAGCCUCGAUGAUAUGGGCACAGGGGAAAAAAAUCCGUGAACAGAACAGCAAUGGCUUGUUCUGUAAGAUCAAGAAUUGACAAAUGGGACCUCAUAAAAUUGUAAAGCUUCUGUAGGGCAAAAGACACUGUCAAUAAGACAAAAAGGCCACCAACAGAUUGGGAAAGGAUCUUUACCAAUCCUAAAUCAGAUAGGUGACUAAUAUCCAAUAUACAUAAAGAACUCAAGAAGAUGGACUCCAGGAUAUCAAAUAACCCUAUUAAAAAUGGGGUACAAAGAUAAACAAAGAAUUCUCAACUGAGGAAUACCAAAUGGCUGAGAAGCACCUGAAAAAUGUUCAACAUCCUUAAUCAUCAGGGAAAUGCAAAUCAAGACAUCCCUGAGAUUCCACCUCACAGCAGUCAGAAUGGCUAAGAUUAAAAAUUCAGGUGACAGCAGAUGCUGGCAUGGAUGUGGAGAAAGAGGGGCACUCCUCCAUUGUUGGUGGGAUUGCAAGCUUGUGUAAACCCUCUGGAAAUCAGUCUGGUGGUUCCUCAGAAAAUUAGACAUAGUAGUACCGGAAGAUCCAGCAAUUCCUCUCCUAGGCAUAUACCCAGAAGAUGUUCCAACUUGUAAUAAGGACACCUGCUCCACUAUGUUCAUAGCAGCCUUUUUGUAAUAGCUAGAAGCUGGAAACAACCCAGAUGUCCCUCAACAGAGGAAUGGAUACAGAAAAUCUGGUACAUUUACUCAAUAAAAAUGUGGUACUAUUCAUCAAUUAAAAACAAUGAAUUCGAGGACACCGGCCACCUUCCUGGUGAGUGCACAGGGGUCCGCCAGCCCGAGAGGUUUUUGCCUCAGGCCCCGGCGGGAGCCUUGGCUCUGGGACUCUGCAGAGGGCAGGCUGCAUGGGUGACGGUGUGGAAUACAGAGGCCAGCCAUUUCUGGGACAGGCGAGAGACACAGAGCUUCUGAGGCAGCGCCAUCUUCGGCUCCAGACAACCGGCCACCUUCCUGGCCAAAGCAACACAGCUUCUGGGAAAGAUCCUGUUUUGGGCCUUCAUCUUCAGCCAGGAGGAGGUCCAAACACCAGAUAACUGUGCACCUUCCCUGAAAGAGGAGAGCUUGCCUGCAGAGACUGCUCUGACCACUGAAACUCAGAGGAGAGAGCUAGUCUCCCAUGUCUGCUAGUAGAGGGUAACAAAAUCAACAGAGGAACAAUCUCUAAACAAAGACAACUAUAACAACUAACUCCAGAGAUUGCCAGAUGGCGAAAGGUAAACGUAAGAAUCCUACUAACAGGAACCAAGACCACUCACCGUCAUCAGAACCCAGAACUCCCACUUCGCCCAGUCCAGGGCAUCCCAACACACAGGAAAAGCUAGACCCAGACUUAAAAGCAUAUCUCAUGAUGAUGGUAGAGGACAUCAAGAAGGACUUUCAUAACUCACUUAAAGAAAUACAGGAGAGCACUGCUAAAGAGUUACAGGUUCUUAAAGAAAAACAGGAAAACACAACGAAACAGUUAGAAGUCC
rnacentral:lncRNA from 1 species